CUUUUCUGGCCAUUCUGCUCAAUUGCCACAUGGCACCAUUACAGUGUUGGGGUUAAACCACAAGGAGGCAUGGCCAAAUGUAGUAGAAAGAGAUGGAAAUUUAUUGUCAGGCAGUUUUUAUUGGAGAUUCCAAGCUGCUCUGUGAGGGAAGUUCCUCAAAAAGUGAGGGUGUACACUUUAAAAUGAUAAAGCAAAACAGAACAUGCUUCGCCGCUCCCCCAAAAAAUCAAGAUUUUGAAAUAAGCAUCAUAAUGGGCAAGACUCUGAGUUCUUAACUAAGAUGCAGCAUCUGAUGCAAACACAGUAUGAGCCUCCUGUAAUGAUCCCAUUUGAAAUGCCAUCACGUGCACAAAAACUACCCUUCAGGGAAGAAUAUUAAGCAAGAGCAACUCAGUUGGAAAUUCAGAUUAUAUUCUGUGUGUUUUCCUUGUUUUUACAUUCUGAUGAUAAGAAGAGCCUUUAGAAAAAAGUGGCCUUUUUCACUACACCGUUGCUCAAAAAGAACACAGCAAUAGAAAGGCUUUGCAUUCUCAACUUCUGCUUUGGUUGCGUACACACAAUACAUGUAAAGCACCCCUGAAGAGAAAUUGGAACUGUAGUUUACCCCUCACAGAGCACCUAGCACCCUUAACAAACUACAGUGCUCACGAUUAUUUGGGGGAAGCCAUGUUCUUUAAAUAUAUAUUGUGUGUACGCAGCCUUAGAGUUAACUUUUUAUCAGAAAACUCCUGGUACAUCCUUCUCUUCUUCCAUCCUCCCUUCUCCUCCUGGCCUAUAACUCGAUCUGGCCGGAGCCCUGUUUGAACAAAUGCUGCUUACUUCUACUGGGCCAGAGACAUUCCUGAGGGGAAGUGUCAAAUUUAUCCAAGGGCCAUGUUGUGUACUAUUUAUUUUUAAACAUGCACAUGCCACUUUUUCAUAUUAAUUUUAAAAUAGUUUAUGAACUAAACACAAGCAAUAAAAUACCAAUUAAGUAAUAUAAUCUAAGCAAAUAACAUUACUCUGAGGGAAAGUAGGUGUGCUACUGAGCAUGCCCAUAAAAAAGAGCUGCACUCAUUCACUAGAAAACCUGUAUGAUACACGUAUUCGACACAUUCACAAUUUACAAUUUUAAGUGUGCAUUUAAAAGCCUUUCAGAGAGCAAUCCUAGCCCCCAGAUCUGCUGGCAGGGUGUGUGUGCAUGUGUAUAACAGCCCCCUGGCCAUUCUUCCUAAACACCCACCUUUGUUGGAGAAAAGAAAUAGGGCUGGCCCACUCAUGAGGUGACUGCUUUGGGCAGCAGGAUCCACAGGGGCAGCAAAUCUAGCCUCUAAGGAACAUA